UCUCCGUUGGUGAACCAGCGGAGGGAUCAUUACCGAGUUAUCAACUCCCAAACCCCUGUGAACAUACCCAACGUUGCUUCGGCGGGACCGCCCCGGCGCCCUCGGCGUCCCGGAACCAGGCGUCCGCCGGAGGACCCAAACUCUUGUUUAAACCAUAGUGGCAUAUUCUGAGUCUCGCAAGAAAAAUGAAUCAAAACUUUCAACAACGGAUCUCUUGGCUCUG
rnacentral:misc_RNA from 1 species